rnacentral:rRNA from 1 species
UGGGGAAUCUUGCACAAUGGGGAACCGUAGCAUGCAGCGACGCCGCGUGAGCGAUGAAGCCCUUCGGGUGUAAAGCUCUUUCGGCAGGGACGAAAACCGACGGUACCUGCAGAAGCAGCUGCGGCUAACUACGUGCCAGCAGCCGCGGUAAUACGUAGGCAGCAAGCGUUGUUCGGAGUUACUGGGCGUAAAGGGUGCGUAGGCGGCCUCUUAAGUUUGGUGUGAAAUCUCCCGGCUCAACUGGGAGGGUGCGCCGGAAACUGAGGGGCUAGAGUGUGGGAGAGGAGAGUGGAAUUCCUGGUGUAGCGGUGAAAUGCGUAGAUAUCAGGAGGAACACCGGUGGCGCAAGCGGCUCUUCUUGGACCACCACUGACGCUGAGGCACGAAAGCGUGGUAGCAAACA